rnacentral:rRNA from 1 species
AGAGUUUGAUCCUGGCUCAGGAUGAACGCUGGCGGCGUGCUUAACACAUGCAAGUCGAACGAAGCAUUUAGGAUUGAAGUUUUCGGAUGGAUUUCCUAUAUGACUGAGUGGCGGACGGGUGAGUAACGCGUGGGGAACCUGCCCUAUACAGGGGGAUAACAGCUGGAAACGGCUGCUAAUACCGCAUAAGCGCACAGAAUCGCAUGAUUCAGUGUGAAAAGCCCUGGCAGUAUAGGAUGGUCCCGCGUCUGAUUAGCUGGUUGGUGAGGUAACGGCUCACCAAGGCGACGAUCAGUAGCCGGCUUGAGAGAGUGAACGGCCACAUUGGGACUGAGACACGGCCCAAACUCCUACGGGAGGCAGCAGUGGGGAAUAUUGCACAAUGGGGGAAACCCUGAUGCAGCGACGCCGCGUGAGUGAAGAAGUAUUUCGGUAUGUAAAGCUCUAUCAGCAGGGAAGAAAACAGACGGUACCUGACUAAGAAGCCCCGGCUAACUACGUGCCAGCAGCCGCGGUAAUACGUAGGGGGCAAGCGUUAUCCGGAAUUACUGGGUGUAAAGGGUGCGUAGGUGGCAUGGUAAGUCAGAAGUGAAAGCCCGGGGCUUAACCCCGGGACUGCUUUUGAAACUGUCAUGCUGGAGUGCAGGAGAGGUAAGCGGAAUUCCUAGUGUAGCGGUGAAAUGCGUAGAUAUUAGGAGGAACACCAGUGGCGAAGGCGGCUUACUGGACUGUCACUGACACUGAUGCACGAAAGCGUGGGGAGCAAACAGGAUUAGAUACCCUGGUAGUCCACGCCGUAAACG